GGCGCGGCCUGGGGCGGCUGGUACCCCGGCUGCUGCGGGUAUCCGUAACCGGGCUGCUGCUGGUACGGGUUCGGCUGCCCGGGCUGUCCCG
rnacentral:tRNA from 1 species